GGUGAGAUGGCCGAGUGGCUGAAGGCUGCGGUCUUGAAAACCGCCGCGGGCGCGAGUCCGCCGUGGGUUCGAAUCCCACUCUCACCGCCA
rnacentral:tRNA from 1 species